GACGAACGCUGGCGGCGUGCCUAAUACAUGCAAGUAGAACGCUGAAGACUUUAGCUUGCUAAAGUUGGAAGAGUUGCGAACGGGUGAGUAACGCGUAGGUAACCUGCCUACUAGCGGGGGAUAACUAUUGGAAACGAUAGCUAAUACCGCAUAACAGCAUUUAACCCAUGUUAGAUGCUUGAAAGGAGCAAUUGCUUCACUAGUAGAUGGACCUGCGUUGUAUUAGCUAGUUGGUGGGGUAACGGCUCACCAAGGCGACGAUACAUAGCCGACCUGAGAGGGUGAUCGGCCACACUGGGACUGAGACACGGCCCAGACGCCUACGGGAGGCAGCAGUAGGGAAUCUUCGGCAAUGGGGGCAACCCUGACCGAGCAACGCCGCGUGAGUGAAGAAGGUUUUCGGAUCGUAAAGCUCUGUUGUAAGAGAAGAACGUGUGUGAGAGUGGAAAGUUCACACAGUGACGGUAACUUACCAGAAAGGGACGGCUAACUACGUGCCAGCAGCCGCCGUAA
rnacentral:rRNA from 1 species